rnacentral:tRNA from 1 species
GGAGUUGUGGCUUAGUGGUAGAGCACUUGCCUGGCAUGUGUGAGGCCCUGGGUUCAACCCUCAGCACCG